rnacentral:rRNA from 1 species
ANAGUUUGAUCCUGGCUCAGGACGAACGCUGGCGGCGUGCCUAAUACAUGCAAGUCGAGCGCAUGAAAUUAUUUGAUUCUCUUCGGAGUUGACGAUAAUGGAAUGAGCGGCGGACGGGUGAGUAACACGUAGGCAACCUGCCUGUAAGACUGGGAUAACUCGUGGAAACGCGAGCUAAUACCGGAUAACACUUUUCAUCUCCUGGUGAGAAGUUGAAAGGCGGCUUUUGCUGUCACUUACAGAUGGGCCUGCGGCGCAUUAGCUAGUUGGUAAGGUAACGGCUUACCAAGGCGACGAUGCGUAGCCGACCUGAGAGGGUGAUCGGCCACACUGGGACUGAGACACGGCCCAGACUCCUACGGGAGGCAGCAGUAGGGAAUCUUCCGCAAUGGACGAAAGUCUGACGGAGCAACGCCGCGUGAGUGAUGAAGGUUUUCGGAUCGUAAAACUCUGUUGUUAGGGAAGAACAAGUACUAUAGUAACUGAUAGUACCUUGACGG